UACGUAGGGGGCAAGCGUUUGUCCGGAUUUACUGGGCGUAAAGAGCGUGUAGGCGGCCAAGCAGGUCCGUUGUGAAAACUCGAGGCUCAACCUCGAGAUGUCGGCGGAAACCAUCUGGCUAGAGUCCGGAAGAGGAGAAUGGAAUUCCCGGUGUAGCGGUGAAAUGCGCAGAUAUCAGGAAGAACACCAAUGGCGAAGGCAGCUCUCUGGGACGGUAC
rnacentral:rRNA from 1 species